rnacentral:rRNA from 2 species
AGUGGCAGACGGGUGAGUAACGCGUGGGAACCUACUCUGGGGUCCGGAAUAACUUGGGGAAACUCAAGCUAAUACCGGAUACGUCCUUCGGGAGAAAGAUUUAUUGCCCCUGAAUGGGCCCGCGUCGGAUUAGCUAGUUGGUGAGGUAAUGGCUCACCAAGGCGACGAUCCGUAGCUGGUCUUAGAGGAUGAUCAGCCACACUGGGACUGAGACACGGCCCAGACUCCUACGGGAGGCAGCAGUGGGGAAUAUUGGACAAUGGGCGAAAGCCUGAUCCAGCCAUGCCGCGUGAGUGAUGAAGGCCUUAGGGUUGUGAAGCUCUUUCGCCUGGGAAGAUAAUGACGGUACCAGGAGAAGAAGCCCCGGCUAACUUCGUGCCAGCAGCCGCGGUAAUACGAAGGGGGCUAGCGUUGUUCGGAAUUACUGGGCGUAAAGCGCACGUAGGCGGAUCGUUAAGUCGGGGGUGAAAGCCCGGGGCUCAACCCCGGAAUUGCCUUCGAUACUGGCGGUCUUGAGGUCGAGAGAGGUGAGUGGAACUCCGAGUGUAGAGGUGAAAUUCGUAGAUAUUCGGAAGAACACCAGUGGCGAAGGCGGCUCACUGGCUCGAUUCUGACGCUGAGGUGCGAAAGCGUGUGGAGCAAACAGGAUUAGAUACCCUGGUAGUCCACGCCGUAAACGAUGGAAGCUAGCCGUCG